GGAAAUAUAUUCUUAUUAUAUUGUUGAGUUUAUGUUUAUUAAUAGAAAUAACUUUAUUUUGAGUAAGUUUUAUUGAAAUAAUUAUUUGUAUUGUAGUGAAUAGUACCGUAAGGGAUUGAAUUAUUUUUGUUUAAAAGUAGUUUUAAUUUGAUGUACCUUUUGUAUCAGGGUUGAUUUAAUUAUCAUAUUUAUAUAGGUUUCCCGAAACUAAAGGAGCUAUAGUUUAGAUGUUAGUUAAUGUAUCAAAAUUAUUGAUGAUUUAAUUAUGGUAAUGAAAUGUUAUUCGUUUUUAGAUAUCUGGUUUUCUUGGAAUUAAAUUUAAUUUAGGAUUGUUUAUAACUUAGUUGGGAAUUUUAUUCCUUUUGUUUGAGACUAUCUAGUAUUCUUGGGGAUAAGCUCGAGAAUAGUUUUAUAAGUUGUUUAUGUGCUAGGGUCUUGUAGGCUUGAAAUCAGCCAUCACUCAUCCCGUUAUAGGGUACCCCUAUAUUAUAUUUAUUUAGUUUUCUUUAUUUUUUUACUUGAAUAAUUUGAUUAAUUAUGAUUUUUUUGUAAUAAUGAUUAAAUUAGUAUCUUAUUGAAUUAAAUUAUAGGAACUCGGCAAAUUUAGUGUUCGCCUGUUUAACAAAAACAUGUCCUUUUGUUUAUUUAUUUAAGGUCUGACCUGCCCAAUGAGGAAUUCAAUGGCCGCAGUAUUCUAACUGUGCUAAGGUAGCAUAAUCAUUUGUCUUUUAAUUGAGGGCUGGAAUGAAAGGUUGGACGAGAUAUUAGCUUUCUUUAUUUUAAUUUAGGGAAUUUAAUUUUUAAGUCAAAAAGCUUAAAUAUGUUUGUAGGACGAGAAGACCCUAUAGAUCUUUAUAAUCUUAUAUUUUGGUAAUGUGGGGAUUUCUUUGCUUGGAGUAAAUUGAUUAUUUUGUUGGGGUGACUAUAGAAUUUUAAUAACUUCUGUUUAUUUAUAUCAUUUAUUGGUGUUAUUUUUGAUCCGCGUAAUGUUGCGAUUAUAAGAUUAAGUUACCUUAGGGAUAACAGCGUAAUUUUUUCGGAGAGUUCAUAUUGAUGAAGGAGUUUGCGACCUCGAUGUUGGAUUAAAGUAAGUUUUAGAUGUAGGAGUCUAUAUACUAGGUCUGUUCGACCUUUAAAUUUUUACAUGAUCUGAGUUCAGACCGGCGUAAGCCAGGUCAGUUUCUAUCCUCAAUUAGUUUAUGUAUUUUAGUACGAAAGGACCGGAUGCAUGGAAUAAUUUUUUUAAUUUGAUUAAUAUU
rnacentral:rRNA from 1 species